rnacentral:misc_RNA from 1 species
GAUGAAGAACGUAGCGAAAUGCGAUAAGUAAUGUGAAUUGCAGAAUUCAGUGAAUCAUCGAAUCUUGGAACGCACAUUGCGCCCGCCAGUAUUCUGGCGGGCAUGCCUGUUCGAGCGUCAUUUCAACCAUCAAGCCCCCGGCUUGUGUUGGGGACCUGCGGCUGCCGCAGGCCCUGAAAAGCAGUGGCGGGCUCGCUGUCACACCGAGCGUAGUAGCAUACAUCUCGCUCUGGGCGUGCUGCGGGUUCCGGCCGUUAAACCACCUUCAUAACCCAAGGUUGACCUCGGAUCAGGUAGGAAGACCCGCUGAACUUAAGCAUAUCAAUAAGCGGAGGA